rnacentral:rRNA from 1 species
UCAGGAUGAACGCUGGCGGCGUGCCUAACACAUGCAAGUCGAGCGAUUCUCUUCGGAGAAGAGCGGCGGACGGGUGAGUAACGCGUGGGUAACCUGCCCUGUACACACGGAUAACAUACCGAAGGUAUGCUAAUACGGGAUAAUAUGUUUUUGAUCGCAUGGUCGAAAUAUCAAAGCUCCGGCGGUACAGGAUGGACCCGCGUCUGAUUAGCUAGUUGGUGAGGUAAUGGCUCACCAAGGCGACGAUCAGUAGCCGACCUGAGAGGGUGAUCGGCCACAUUGGAACUGAGACACGGUCCAAACUCCUACGGGAGGCAGCAGUGGGGAAUAUUGCACAAUGGGCGAAAGCCUGAUGCAAGCAACGCCGCGUGAGCGAUGAAGGCCUUCGGGUCGUAAAGCUCUGUCCUCAAGGAAGAUAAUGACGGUACUUGAGGAGGAAGCCCCGGCUAACUACGUGCCAGCCGCUGC